GAAGAUGGAAUCCACUGAGGAAGGAAGGCCUAGGUCUUCAGCACCGUGUGUGCCAGCCCAGAAGCAGCAGUGUGAAAGCCUCUGCAACAUCUGCUGUAGACCCCUAAAAAUCAGGGGGGGUUGGAUUUGGACAUCCUCAGUAGGAAUGGUUAAGCGCUGAUGGGAUCAUAAACAGAUGAUGCCAGAUAGUUGAUAAAUCCUAUAGCUCAACUUGAUUCCUAGAUACAAGCUGGAUUCAUUUGAUACCACAGAAAUGAAACUUCGGGAGACUAGAUUGGAGUCUCACUUCUUUCCCAGCCUGGAACUCUUGGGAGCUCAUGAAGGUAGAUGAUUCUUCAAAUUAAAGACGGACACUGACUUUUCUUACCAGAAAUGGUUUAUAGAAUCAACUUUCAAAAAUGCAAGAGGCAGCAAAAAAAAUGAGUAAAAUAUUUUCUUCUAUUAUUCUUUGAUUGUUUGCUAGAUUGUAAACUCCUUGAAAGCAGGAUAACUUGCUUAUCUGUAAUGCCUGGCCCAGAAUAGAUACUCAAAAAAUAUUUGAAGUUGGGCUUCCCUGGUGGCGCAGUGGUUGAGAAUCUGCCUGCCAAUGCAGGGGACAUGGGUUCGAGCUCUGGUCUGGGAAGAUCCCACAUGCCGCGGAGUAACUAAGCCCAUGAGCCACAAUUACUGAGCCUGCGCAUCUGGAGCCUGUGCUCCUCAACAAGAGAGGCCGCGAUAGUGAGAGGCCCGCGCACCGCGAUGAAGAGUGGCCCCCGCUUGCCACAACUAGAGAAAGCCCUCGCACAGAAACGAAGACCCAACACAGCCAUAAAUAAAUAAAUAAAUAAAUAAAUAAAUAAAUAAAGCAUGACACAAAUUAAGCAAUGUGAAUACCAUCAAGCUUUCAUCAUCAUAAAAAAAAUAUUUUAAGUUAAUUAAAAUUUCCAUAGAAUUUUGUUUUUUUUAAUCCCUGGAAAAUAACAACCAUUUUAAUGGCAUUUCAGCAAGACAAUUACAUGGAAUAACUGGGACUUAAAUUUUGACUCUGAUGUAUAAACUAUCUGGAUACCAAUGAGUCUACUUAAUAUCUGAUUAUGAUGCUUGAUCCUUUAAGAGGCAAUGAAGAAUGGCUGCCAAAACAAACUGUGUAU